CUGCUGCUAAUCUGUGAAAAUCCAAUGAAGCGUUUGGUAAUGUCUGCUGGUUAUCACUCAUUAAAUGUUAAUAAUCGAUGAGAUUCAAGAAGGAGUCUUUCUCCAAGUGGAACACGCAGCGUCUUAAAGAUCCAGUAUUGUUUUAUUGUUGACCAGUCAUGUCAAAGUACCCAAUUACUAAGGUUGGCUAGCUAACAUGCUCAUAGAUAUAGCUGCCUUACAAGCGUGUCGUUGACACGCUACGCCAGUCGUCCUCUACGCGAUCACAAUCAGGAAGUUGAAAAUGACACGUCAUUUGUGCCCAAAUCUACUCGCUAGUGAAUGGGUAGUGUCUUGGAACUGGAAGCACGCCAUUUUGUGUGACUAGCUUCAAUUGUGACUAGCUAAUUACGUACAUGCGUUUAACCACAUCCACCUGUCUUUGCUAUUGUUUACUUUAUCCAUUUAUUUUUUGAAUACACACUGUAACUGUACACUUGUCCAGCGUAAUAGAUGCCAUGUACUGUCUCACAAACAACAAUGUAACAUUAAGGAGUGGGACAAACAUUAAUAACGUUAGCAUAGCUAUGUUGGCUGCAGUGCUAAUAUUAGCCUCCCACUUCAGCAGUGACAUCAUGCUAGGUUAAUCUAUUCAUUCAUUCAAAUUAGGCUGGGGAAAGUUAUAUUAUGGGAAUAAAAUAAUAAUUAUGAAAAUUAGCAUUCAAUUGAUGGCCACACAAUAAAAUCCAGACUAUUUGCUAUCAGAUCUGCCAUUUAAGCGAUGAAAACCUCCCGGUCAGUGUUAGUGAGGCUCUAAUAGCGACGGUCGUCGGUGUUCUCUGAUGUUUUAUAAGCAAGCAGCCAGACGUUGCCUUCAGUUUCCAUGCGUCCUUUAAUCAUCGUUAGGCAGCUCCUCUGCCAUUUAAGGCAGCGAGCGUUCAUGACGCUGCUGGCAACACAUACCGUGAUCUCAUAUAUAAAAAGAGCUGUAAAGGGCAUUAACAACCUUAUUAAACUCAAAUUGGUGUCACUCUGGAGAAAAUAUGAAAUAAACAGCCACUUGCAGACAUCUCAUAGGUGUUAGCGACCACAAACAUAGCGGAGACGGUGAUUUCGCCGAGUGUAGCAGCCAUUACGGCAACAACAACGCCUCGAGGCAACCAGUCGAUGCUAACCGAGUCACGACCCCCAGGCCUUAGGAGCGUUGGCGGCGCUAAUCCACACUGACACAAGCUAAUCCCCAGAAGAUGAGCAUUUUGGAACAGGAAACAAUCCAUCAGGAUCAUUCCUCACUCCUCGAUCUAAGGGCCCUUGGCGAGGUCAUAUGGAGGUGAGCCAAGCGGAGAAGGUGCGAUGACAAACACAGUGGAGCCUUCACCGCUGAAGGACCACCGAAAAGAAGCCCACCACAAGCAAACACAGCCGAGACACACGCCGUCAUUCACUUCUGCUGUCACCGCCCCGUCGGAGGAAGCCAUCGCUGACCGCAUCUGAAGCCGCAGGACAACACUGCACUUUGCAAAGGACUUCUUCCAGAGGAAUAAGCUCAUCUAAAGCCAAUGGAGAACAUUUUGAAGACAUCAGCUUCUUCACCACCUGGAGCAAUAUUCCCACAAGAUGAAUUUAUGGAUGAUGGCUAAUUAACAAAGUGGAGUUAAAGUUUCUACAAUCAGCAUGCAUGAACGUGAGAAUAUCUGGCAGCAGUUGGAGUUCUCUGAGCCUUUCCUCAGCUCUUCCAGGGAUGACACAUUGUGGGCUCCGCGGGGAAGGCUGGAAAGAGUGAGAUAUCUGCUGAGUCGGGCAGCCUGCGGUCGUCAGGCCAUUGCUCCAUUACCUCUCUGACUGAGGAGGCCAAUCUGAGGGAGACUGAGGGCUGAGAUUGUGGACCCAUCAGAAUGAAGUUUUUGACCUUGAGCCUAUCCCAGCUGACACGCUGGACUGGUCACCAGCCAAUCAGAGGGCUCAUCCAGUAUAGACGACCCAUUCCAACCUAUGGUCAACAAGAGUGUCAGAGGGUCUUGUUUAAAUGAUCUGCUAAAGACAUUGGAGUCCAACACCUCCAGGAAUGUCCAGCUUGUAUUUAAUACACCUCGCAUUUCCUCUUCCGGGAAAAAUGGGAGGCUUGGUGAGUAUGGACUCCCUUCAAAUG